rnacentral:lncRNA from 1 species
CCUAGAAUCCUCAUCUUAGGGGAGUGGUUAUGUAACCAAAUCAACAACAAAGAUUUCUACUCAAACUAAAACACUCCAACAGGAGUGCUUGUUUACAAAGGGACUCUCAUAGUCUCAUACAAUAAUAUUUUGCAUGAAACAAGUUAAAUUGGACCUGUCACUCUGUCAGUCCCUGUACAAACUAUAAAGAUGCUGAAACAGAUUCAAGAAACUCUAUUUCCCUUGAAGAUUAAAAGAAUAGUUGCACAACCACAAGAUGAAUCACUGAGCUUCAUGACCUGGAGCAAAAGGGUCAUCUUCGAUUCUGGUAAAAAUUCACAGGGGAGAUGAUAAAACACCAAGGGCCGGUCAAUAAGGAAAUAAGGAAUAAUACAUAUUACAUAAUAUAGGUAUGUGAUUUUGUCAAGAAAAUACCUCGGGUUUAGCCAACAAAAAAUAUUCUGAUGCAUCUCCAAGGGUCACUAUACCCAUCGCAAGUUGUUUGCUUGUCCAGUGUAUAAUGUGCAAACCAGAACCAGAUUGAUCUCCAGCAGGUAUUUGACUUACACAACUGCCAUAUAAAACACCGCCAAAACCAGCUCACUGCUCACCACAGACAAGUAAUUUUGCAGCAUCAAAACAAUGUAACUGCAUAAAAACAAAGAAAAAUAGUUAAAUUUGUAGAUUAAUCUGUGGAAAGCAUAAGACACAAACAAAAGUCUACUUGAGCUGCUAGAGAAAUAGCUACAAGUCAAGGACUGCACCUUGCUGAAUGAAUUGCUGACCUAAAAUUCUGCACAUCUACAUAACAAUGGGACCUACAGGACUAAAACUGAACAAUUGGGACACAAAGUUUACCUCUGCUGGAGACAGACCCGCCAGUACAAAACCGUGCAACCGAUCCAGAAACUUCCAGGACUACAACUACAAGCAAUUUGUGGCAAACUUGUCCUGUGAUCUCUUUGAUGCCACCACCACCACCUCAGUAAGCAAUUCCGAAAAUGAAACAGGACCAAUAUGUCUAGAUAACAGCUCUCGAAAUUUAUUAGCUUAUUCAAAGUCCCAAACUUGGAAAGAGACCGAUAAACCAGCAGGAGAACUUGUCUGAUGCUCGCAUUCUAACUGGUCAGAGCCAGCCCUUGCAUCUCUUUGAAUGUAUGAAUGAUAAAUGAGUAGGAGAUCUACAACAAACAAGAAAUGGGAGCACCUUAAUGCCCUACAACAAAAAAGAAAUGGGAUCAUUUGAUACUGUUUCAAAAAGAAGCUUUCAGGCUUCGAGUGCAUAACAAUGUGGCUUUUGAUCCAUUUGAGCUCACUCUUCCACCGGACCACCCCAUAAACUCUCAUCAAUGGACUUAGCUUUGCUC